rnacentral:rRNA from 1 species
UGAGGAAUUUUGCGCAAUGGGGGAAACCCUGACGCAGCAACGCCGCGUGAGUGAAGAAGGCCCUUGGGUCGUAAAGCUCUGUCGACAGGGAAGAAAUUACAGUUUUCUAAUAGGAGAUUCUAUUGACGGUACCUGUAGAGGAAGCACCGGCUAACUCCGUGCCAGCAGCCGCGGUAAUACGGGGGGUGCAAGCGUUAUUCGGAAUUAUUGGGCGUAAAGGGCGCGUAGGCGGUCUUGUCGGUCAGAUGUGAAAGCCCAGGGCUCAACCCUGGACGUGCAUUUGAAACAGCAAGACUUGAGUACGGGAGAGGAAAGCGGAAUUCCUGGUGUAGAGGUGAAAUUCGUAGAUAUCAGGAGGAACACCGAUGGCGAAGGCAGCUUUCUGGACCGAUACUGACGCUGAGGCGCGAAGGCGUGGGUAGCGAACAGGAUUAGAUACCCUGGUAGUCCACGCAGUAAACGAUGUACACUAGGUGUGGCGGAUAUUAAAAUCUGCUGUGCCCAAGCUAACGCAUUAAGUGUACCGCCUGGGGAGUACGGUCGCAAGACUA